rnacentral:rRNA from 1 species
UACGUAGGGUGCAAGCGUUAAUCGGAAUUACUGGGCGUAAAGCGUGCGCAGGCGGUGAUGUAAGACAGAUGUGAAAUCCCCGGGCUCAACCUGGGAACUGCAUUUGUGACUGCAUCGCUGGAGUGCGGCAGAGGGGGAUGGAAUUCCGCGUGUAGCAGUGAAAUGCGUAGAGAUGCGGAGGAAUACCGAUGGCGAAGGCAGCCCCCUGGGAUAACACUGACGCUCAUGCACGAAAGCGUGGGGAGCAAACAGG